GUCAGCUUGUGCUGGAAGUGGACGGUAUCAGAGUGUGAGUGAAGGGAUUCUUUCCAAAAGGAGAUUUUGGGGAUUGAGGCAGUUGAAGAAAGAGUGAAGCCAGGGGGCAGUCCCUGUGGAGAGGACCCCAGGAACUGAGCUUCCCCACCACUGUCUCAAUGAGAAGACAGACGCAGUUCCCAUUCCUGCUCUGCAUAUGGAAAAGUAUGGCUGGAUUUAUUUGUUUGGGUUUUCUUCCUUUCUCUCAUUUUGAAGGGGAAAAGCUGGAGCAGGGGGAGCACUACUGGUCCUUUGUUACCUCCAUAACCAGUUGGAUUCUGCAUGUGCUGCAACAGGACAGCAUUGCCAGGCUCCUUAAGCUGCUGGGGCAGGGUGGGAGCAAAGAGCGUGAACUGCCCUCCUGCCAGCUGCACCUAGUUAUGGUUUGCCGGGUCCCUGCUGCCCUGAAUUUCACCUGAAAGGUUUGUUCUAGCUGCUUGCAGUAGUAAAAUUUAGGGAAGAAAUGGAAGUCAAGAGCUAAGGCUCUGCACAAUAACUUUGCGUGGAUUGAACUAUGGCACCUGAAGACUGUUUCCUGAAUAAUGCUGGCAUUUUGCAGGUGUGUUGGUUUAACCCACUGAACUGAUGUCUGUGAGCGCCCGUCUUCUCCACCUGAACAGUAAGAAAGCUGGGAUAUGCCCAGAAAUUGCAGCAGUUGCUGUGAAUACUCUCCCAAAUGUUUGUUUCCUUUAGUGGUAGCUAAUGACUCAGCACUGUGAUAUCCUGUCUCUGGCACGAUCUGGAACGCUGCAUCUCUUUGCAAAUGUUGGGUGCCCAUUUCCAUGGACCCUCCUUUCUUUCUCUCCUCAGAAGCAGCACAGUGCGGUUCCCUGCGUUAGGGAGCAGCAGCCAGCAGGCUGCCAGAAUGCCAGCUGGGCCUUGCAGCGUGCAAAGGGACAUGUUGGGGAUGGACCAUCCUUAGCACCACGCAAAAAAAGUAAACAUGUCAUCAGAUGUUCUCCCUGGCAACUGGCACCUGGAUUAAAUUUAAGUUGUAAAGCAUCAGUCCAGUCUCCUGUAGUUAAUCUUUGUGGUUUAUAGUGUAACUAUCUUGUUCUGAAAUAGUGAAACAUACAGCCUCUCCAAAUGAGCAAAGUAGACCCUUCCAAGGUACAGUACAUUUCGUUCUAAUGUAGACAGCCAAACAAAGCUAGAUGAAUUGCAGUCUAAAGUUACUCAAACCUAAAAUUGCAUCCACUGAUUAUAAAAGGAAACUAAUUACAGACCACUCACAUCUGAAGGAAGAUUGCAGUUGAACAAUUUUAAAUCCUUGUAGUUAGUGAUGUCAGUAUAGACAUCCCAAGGAAUGGCUAAUUUCAUCCCAAAUUUUCUCUGGAAUGCAUCAGUUGAAGUAUGUUCUGAAAUAACCUGUUUUCUCCAGUUGUCUUUCGAGGGAGAUAAACAUGCCUAGAUUACAUGCAGACUUCCACUUUUCCCCAAAGAAAUCCCAUAGCAGUGUCUAAUUUUCCAAAGAAGUCAUCAGAACACUGGAAACAGGAAAAAAAAUCAAUUAUUACAUAUCUCAACAACCAAGAAUCAACAAUAUGACAGCCAUAGAAAACAAAUUAGUAUUUCUCAUGGAGCACAUCAAAUAAUUUCAUUUUCAUACAUUUUGAAUUAAACUGGAUUUUGAUUCAUCACCAUUUUUAGAAAGUAAAAUUUAUUUUAAAAGUCCUUCCAUUGAUCUAAAUCCUUUCAUUCGUCCCAAUUCUUUUUCUUCUUUUGAGGCAGGAGAAAGGAACAUGAGUUUUUACUUUCUUUACUUCAACAUCUUUUUUCCUUUUUGCUGCAAAUAUGUUAAGUUUGUAUGAAUGACUAUGUCUGCUUGUUAAUGCAUUAGGAUUCUGGGCAGCAAUGUUGAACGUACUGAAAAUGCUAAGAUAGAUAUUCAGGAGUAGAUAUUCAGACCUUUAAAAGUCUUUAAUGUAAAAAAGGUUUAGUUUACUUCCCUUACUAGUAAGAGAUGAAGUUGGUCUUGACAGUGGAAAUUAAAAUUUUCACAUUGUGCCUUGAAAUACACAAAAAAUCUUCAUAUUCUUUAUUUAAUCAUUGAAUAAUUAAGGAUGAGAAAGACUGCUAAGAUCGCCUAGUCCAACCGUCAACCUAUCACAUCCAUGGCCUCCAUCUCCCCACAUUACUUCAUUUCUUACAUGGACAGUUGAAGGGCUCAUUGUACUUCAAGUGUAUAUAAAUUAGUCCUUGUUGUCCAAUAUCUAAUUUCUCUAAUUUCCUUGCAGUACUUAAGAGGAGACUGUAAACAGGAGGGCGACCAAUUUUCUUCACAUAAUAAAAGAAUCACAGGUUUGUAGAGGUUGGAAGCG
ensembl:lncRNA